AGAAUUCAAUUUAAAAGAAUUAUUUCAGAACCAAAUUAAUUCUUUCUUGUUUAUUCAUUCAUAAAAUUGAUCUCAAAAAAUUUUGUUUUGACAGAUCAACAAAAUGUAACAUUAGUCGUUCCUACCCCUUCAAGCAAGAAAACUGAGUUCAACUAAGAAACUCCGACCUCAGACCGCGAAAAUCGGGGUUGCACUCACACACUUGCAACUUUUUGUGUAUGAACACAAAAGUCGAACGAGAAUCGUGGUGAAAAAGUGCGAAAAGGAAAACACUAUAUGAUAGAGACAAGUGCAACCCCAUUUUACAAAAGAACAAAACGUCAAAAUUAAUAAAAUAAUAAAAAAAGUAGGUAAGCGAGUGGAAGCGAAAGAAAAAGAAAUUUUAUAUAAAAAAUAAAAAUACUAUUAUCUCAUCUCUAAAAAAAAGAGCAGCUGUCGAGGGUGGCCGAGGUUUGGGACCAGAUUUUGAAAAAAGAAGAUGUUUCGCGAAUAAAGACGCUAAAGUAGAUGUUGAAACUCUGGCCUGUCAGUCGGAAGGAACAAGAAGCGCCUGAAGGUUGGUGGAAUUCGCAAGACACAUUCCUGGAUUCGGGAGUUACGAUGAUAUCGCCUUUGAAAAUGACGAAUAGGGUCUUAUGUACGCAGAGCUAGCAACUCGUAUGGAAGGAUUCUUAAAUAUUACGGUCAAUGCAUCUACUCUCCAAGUUCAUGCUAGAAAGCUCCGAGAGAAUUUGGACAUCCAUAGCAACUCAAACUACAGCAGCAACAACAAAUGAAAAUAAAUGAAAUGUAUUUUAUUGUAUUUAUUGUAAUUUCUUUUGCUACAAAAACAUUAAAAUAAAAAAAAACAAUUUCAGUGAAGAAAAUUAAUAAACAGGGAUUUUUUAGGUUAGAAAUGUCAAAUAUAUUCGAUACUCGAGUAUCGAUCGAUGUCUCAAUGCCGGACGUCAUACGUUCCGACUUCGCCUCCGUUUUCUCGGAAUGGAGAUUUUCACCACACUAAUACAUAUGCAAUCGACUUCGCGGUGAUUAUAAUUUCCAUACUAAUUUGAGCCGCCUUCGGACCAGUUUCCGAAGUGGGACUCAGCUCCGCCUCAGGCGGAGCAGAUUCGGACCGAGGUCGGACCUGUUUGCUUGAAGGGAAAUCAAAGUUGAAAUUUUCUAACAAAAUCUAACAAAAACAAAUACAACGAUUUUUUUGACACAACAACCAAAGUUAACUUUGUUUAAUAAAAGAACA